rnacentral:rRNA from 1 species
UGGGGAAUUUUGGACAAUGGGCGAAAGCCUGAUCCAGCAAUGCCGCGUGUGUGAAGAAGGCCUUCGGGUUGUAAAGCACUUUUGUCCGGAAAGAAAUCCUUGGCUCUAAUACAGUCGGGGGAUGACGGUACCGGAAGAAUAAGCACCGGCUAACUACGUGCCAGCAGCCGCGGUAAUACGUAGGGUGCAAGCGUUAAUCGGAAUUACUGGGCGUAAAGCGUGCGCAGGCGGUUUGCUAAGACCGAUGUGAAAUCCCCGGGCUCAACCUGGGAACUGCAUUGGUGACUGGCAGGCUAGAGUAUGGCAGAGGGGGGUAGAAUUCCACGUGUAGCAGUGAAAUGCGUAGAGAUGUGGAGGAAUACCGAUGGCGAAGGCAGCCCCCUGGGCCAAUACUGACGCUCAUGCACGAAAGCGUGGGGAGCAAACAGGAUUAGAUACCCUGGUAGUCCACGCCCUAAACGAUGCCAACUAGUUGUUGGGGAUUCAUUUUCCUUAGUAACGUAGCUAACGCGUGAAGUUGACCGCCUGGGGAGUACGGUCGCAAGAUUAAAACUCAAAUGAAUUGACGGGGUCAUAGCUGUUUCCU